rnacentral:rRNA from 1 species
GUGGGGAAUAUUGGACAAUGGGCGAAAGCCUGAUCCAGCCAUGCCGCGUGUGUGAAGAAGGUCUUCGGAUUGUAAAGCACUUUAAGUUGGGAGGAAGGGCAGUAAGUUAAUACCUUGCUGUUUUGACGUUACCGACAGAAUAAGCACCGGCUAACUUCGUGCCAGCAGCCGCGGUAAUACGAAGGGUGCAAGCGUUAAUCGGAAUUACUGGGCGUAAAGCGCGCGUAGGUGGUUUUGUAAGUUGGAGGUGAAAUCCCCGGGCUCAACCUGGGAACUGCCUCCAAAACUGCAUGACUAGAGUACGGUAGAGGGUAGUGGAAUUUCCUGUGUAGCAGUGAAAUGCGUAGAUAUAGGAAGGAACACCAGUGGCGAAGGCGACCACCUGGACUGAUACUGACACUGAGGUGCGAAAGCGUGGGGAGCAAACAGGAUUAGAAACCCGAGUAGUCC